UACGGAGGGGGCGAGCGUUGUCCGAAGUUACUGGGCGUAAAGCGCGCGUAGGCGGGUGGGGAAGUCCGCUGUGAAAGCCCGGAGCUCAACUCCGGAGGGUCGGUGGAUACUGCCCAUCUUGAAGGUGCUAGGGGGAGAUGGAAUUACCGGUGUAGCGGUGAAAUGCGUAGAGAUCGGUAGGAACACCAGUGGCGAAGGCGGUCUCCUGGAGCAUACUUGACGCUGAGGCGCGAAAGCUGGGGGAGCGAACGGG
rnacentral:rRNA from 1 species